UACCAGCACCCCGAGUGGUCGGGACGAUUAUUGGGCCUAAAGCAUCCGUAGCCGGUUCUACAAGUCUUCCGUUAAAUCCACCUGCUUAACAGAUGGGCUGCGGAGGAUACUAUGGAGCUAGGAGGCGGGAGAGGCAAGCGGUACUUAGUGGGUAGGGGUAAAAUCCGUUGAUCCAUUGAAGACCACCAGUGGCGAAGGCGGACUUGCCAGAACGCACUCGACGGUGAGGGAUGAA
rnacentral:rRNA from 1 species